GUAGGUGGCAAGCGUUGUCCGGAACUAUUGGGGCGUAAAGCGCGCGCAGGCGGUUCUUUAAGUCUGAUGUGAAAGCCCACGGGCUCAACCGUGGAGGGUCAUUGGAAACUGGAGAACUCGAGUACAGAAGAGGAAAGCGGAAUUCCACGUGUAGCGGUGAAAUGCGUAGAGAUGUGGAGGAACACCAGUGGCGAAGGCGGCUUUCUGGUCUGUAACUGACGCUGAGGCGCGAAAGCGUGGGGAGCAAACAGGAUUAGAUACCCUGGUAGUCCACGCCGUAAACGAUGAGUGCUAAGUGUUAGGGGGUUUCCGCCCCUUAGUGCUGCAGCUAACGCAUUAAGCACUCCGCCUGGGGAGUACGGCCGCAAAGGCUG
rnacentral:rRNA from 1 species